CCAGCAUGUACAUGCCGGCGGGCCGGGCGCUCUGCUCGCUCUCGAAGUAGAAGAGCACGUUCUGGUAGAGCGCGAACCACUUCUCGUGCCAGCGGCUGGUCUCCGCCGUCUUCUUGCUCAGUGUGAAGCAGCUGCUGCACUCCAAACCAGAAGUACCUGCAUUCCAGCAAUGGGGAAAAUGAUACACACAUAAAGGAUAUAACAUGCUUUAUGAUUCUUCUGGAUGAAAGACAACAAAAAAUGAACUCAACAGUACUGCCAGCAAUGUUGUACAGCAGCAAUACAUGGGUGCUGACAAAGAUAGAGGAGCAACAACUGUGUCACAGAGAGGGCGACAGAAAGAAGAAUUCUGGGGAUUUCAAUCUGCAACCGAGUCCCCAGUGAAGUGAUCAGACAGCAGAGUGGAGUGCAGGAUAUCAUUGUUGAAAGCAGGUUGACUGUGGAAGCCAGACAUGUGUCUUAUCUUCAUCCCUGGAUCCUGUGCUGUUUAGGAAGUAGACAGGCUGUAUCCAAAAGCUGAAAGAAAUAGCUUCAGAGGAUUCUGACACCCAAUAACAUAAUAUACAUGAUUUGCCCUUCUUAACAUGAAUUAUAAUUUUUUUUUCAUUUUAAAUUUUUCUCCUCAUUGUUCAUAUUUUUCUUUUAAAAAGUUACUGCCUAGGAGUCUAAUGAAGAUUAUAAAUGUUAUAGUCAUUACCACUUAUUAUUGUGAUUAUUAUGUAUGAUUAAGCUUGCUCAUCCUGUAAAGCUAAGCAAGUUUUCUUCCAGAGGGCUUGUCUUUAUGUUUCUGUGUUAUUCAUCUGUAAUGCAAGUUGACAAGAACUAUAAUUAGGAGAAAGAAAAAUGAGGGGUCUGGAUGAUAGGUUGCUAAUGGCAGACAGAGGAUUUACUGGAAACAUUUUGAUAGAGGAGUUAACUGUCAGAGUUCCCCUGGUCAGGGCUGCCGAGGGAGAAAAAAAAUAAACAUCUGAGCUGUUUCAAAUUAGGGAUCUAUAUAGAUUGGGAGAAUAACUCCAAUUUAUUAUUUUUGUCACUCUUCGUAUACCAAUAGUUUGCUUAUGUCUUUUCAGAAAAACUUUUUAAAAUGUUUACAUUGAAGGGGACUGACUGGCUCAUGGAAUUAGUAAUGGGAUAUAGAGCUUUCUACCCCCAGGUCACUGGUUCAAAUUCAGCAAAAAGAGAGUAAUUGGGCCAAAUUCUGCUCUAAGUCACAGAAUUUACACUAGAGUAUAUGAAAGCAGAUUUUCAGUGCAUUACUAUCAGAUGUCUGUUCAGUGGCCUAUGUAAUCUGAGUUGGUAAUCUCAAUCCAGUUUCUAGUCAUCACAAAUCCACUAGCACAUUUUUUAUUCUUGUUAGUAGUCUAAGAAGAGAAGGCAAGAACUGAAUGGGCCAGUGGGAUUCAGUAUAUCUAUUGAGCAGCAUCUUCUCUAAUUUAUUGCAGUUUUCCUCUGGUGGAAAUCCUAAGCAAAGACAGGUCACCUCCUCUCUUCUCUGAGGAAUCUACCUGCAGUGAAUUGAUUUAGUCUGUGCAUGGAGAUGUAUUUCACAUGUCACUGAUCCUACACAAGUAACAGUCACCCUGUCUCUGUAAACUUAUAUAUCAAAUUAUUGAUGAAGCAAUACUUAAAAAUGCAGGAGGCCGGAGCAUCUUAUAAACAAAUAUAUGCUAAGAAUAUGCUUAUUGAUUUUCCUAUUCCAUUUCCUCUAGUUGCAGGAAUUAGUCCUAAGUGGCAUGCAUCCAAGUAGCCUGUGAUUUUAUACCCUCCCUAUAGUUGCAUAUAUUUUCUCAUGUGCAAUGUUGAGUGGGUAGGUUUUAUCAUCAUAAUAAAAGCUUCACCACAUUUGAAUGUGCCAUUUAUACAUCUGUUAAUAUUCAUCAUUCCAUAUAUUUAUAAUAUCUAAAAGAGACUGUUUUCAUAAUCCCUAAAUCCAUGAUUUUUGCCCUCUUUCAAAUCCCAAACCCAGACCUAGCUCUUCUGAAACACCUAUAAGAAAGG